rnacentral:rRNA from 1 species
AGAGUUUGAUCCUGGCUCAGGAUGAACGCUAGCGACAGGCUUAACACAUGCAAGUCGAGGGGCAGCGGGGGCGUAGCAAUAUGCCUGCCGGCGACCGGCGCACGGGUGAGUAACACGUAUGUAACCUGCCCUAUGCAGGGGGAUAACCCGGAGAAAUCCGGCCUAAUACCGCGUAACACCUUAGGGGAGCAUUCUCUUGAGGUUAAAGGAGAGACCCGGCAUAGGAUGGACAUGCGUCGCAUUAGGUAGACGGCGGGGUAACGGCCCACCGUGCCGACGAUGCGUAGGGGUUCUGAGAGGAAGGCCCCCCACACUGGUACUGAGACACGGACCAGACUCCUACGGGAGGCAGCAGUGAGGAAUAUUGGUCAAUGGCCGAGAGGCUGAACCAGCCAAGUCGCGUGAGGGAAGAAUGUCCUAAGGAUUGUAAACCUCUUUUGUCGGGGAGCAAAAAGGCUCUGCGGAGUCGUAUUGAGAGUACCCGAAGAAAAAGCAUCGGCUAACUCCGUGCCAGCAGCCGCGGUAAUACGGAGGAUGCGAGCGUUAUCCGGAUUUAUUGGGUUUAAAGGGUGCGCAGGCGGCGUGUCAAGCAAGCGGUAAAAUAGCGGGGCUAAACCCCGUCGAGCCGUUUGAACUGGCGCGCUUGAGUUCAGGCGAGGUAGGCGGAAUUCGUGGUGUAGCGGUGAAAUGCAUAGAUAUCACGAAGAACUCCGAUUGCGAAGGCAGCUUACCAGUCUGCGACUGACGCUCAGGCACGAAAGUGUGGGUAUCGAACAGGAUUAGAUACCCUGGUAGUCCACACAGUAAACGAUGAGCGCUAGGUGUCCGGGUCGCAUGAGACUUGGGUGCCCGAGCGAAAGCGUUAAGCGCUCCACCUGGGGAGUACGCCGGCAACGGUGAAACUCAAAGGAAUUGACGGGGGCCCGCACAAGCGGAGGAACAUGUGGUUUAAUUCGAUGAUACGCGAGGAACCUUACCCGGGCUCAAACGACUCAGGAAUAUAUUGGAAACGAUGUAGCCAGCAAUGGUCUGAGUCGAGGUGCUGCAUGGUUGUCGUCAGCUCGUGCCGUGAGGUGUCGGCUUAAGUGCCAUAACGAGCGCAACCCCUACCGCCAGUUGCCAACGGGUAAAGCCGGGAACUCUGGCGGGACUGCCGGCGCAAGCUGCGAGGAAGGCGGGGAUGACGUCAAAUCAGCACGGCCCUUACGUCCGGGGCGACACACGUGUUACAAUGGCAGGUACAGCGGGAAGCCACCUGGUGACAGGGAGCGGAACCCGAAAGCCUGUCUCAGUUCGGAUUGGAGUCUGCAACUCGACUCCAUGAAGCUGGAUUCGCUAGUAAUCGCGCAUCAGCCAUGGCGCGGUGAAUACGUUCCCGGGCCUUGCACACACCGCCCGUCA